rnacentral:hammerhead_ribozyme from 1 species
AUUCUGUGAUGAGUCCCAAAUAGGACGAAAUGCGUAUCCUGGAU